rnacentral:rRNA from 1 species
GCCUAACACAUGCAAGUCGAGCGGAUGAGAGGAGCUUGCUCCUUGAUUCAGCGGCGGACGGGUGAGUAAUGCCUAGGAAUCUGCCUGUUAGUGGGGGAUAACGUUCCGAAAGGAACGCUAAUACCGCAUACGUCCUACGGGAGAAAGUGGGGGAUCUUCGGACCUCACGCUAACAGAUGAGCCUAGGUCGGAUUAGCUAGUAGGUGAGGUAAUGGCUCACCUAGGCGACGAUCCGUAGCUGGUCUGAGAGGAUGAUCAGCCACACUGGAACUGAGACACGGUCCAGACUCCUACGGGAGGCAGCAGUGGGGAAUAUUGGACAAUGGGCGAAAGCCUGAUCCAGCCAUGCCGCGUGUGUGAAGAAGGUCUUCGGAUUGUAAAGCACUUUAAGUUGGGAGGAAGGGCUCUUGGCUAAUACCCAGGAGUUUUGACGUUACCGACAGAAUAAGCACCGGCUAACUCUGUGCCAGCAGCCGCGGUAAUACAGAGGGUGCAAGCGUUAAUCGGAAUUACUGGGCGUAAAGCGCGCGUAGGUGGUUUGUUAAGUUGGAUGUGAAAGCCCCGGGCUCAACCUGGGAAUUGCAUCCAAAACUGGCAGACUAGAGUACGGUAGAGGGUGGUGGAAUUUCCUGUGUAGCGGUGAAAUGCGUAGAUAUAGGAAGGAACACCAGUGGCGAAGGCGACCACCUGGACUGAUACUGACGCUGAGUGCGAAAGCGUGGGGAGCAAACAGGAU